rnacentral:rRNA from 1 species
UACGGGGGGAGCAAACGUUGUUCGGAAUCACUGGGCGUAAAGGGCGUGUAGGCGGUUCUGUAAGUGGUGUGUGAAAUCCGAUGGCUCAACCAUCGAGCUGCGCUCCAUACUGCAGGACUUGAGUACAGCAGAGGAAAGUGGAAUUCCCGGUGUAGCGGUGAAAUGCGUAGAUAUCGGCAGGAACACCCAGGGGGAAACCAGUCGACUGGGCAGCACCUGACGCUGAGGUGCGAGAGCGUGGGGAGCGAACCGG